AUUUGGGUCAGGAUAGACCGUCGACUGAAAUCCGACCGACUGUGCUGAAUUCACGGCCGUCUGUGCGGCCGGAUUCCAGUCGAAGUGCCUGAUUCUAGCCGCAAGGCCCGCAAUUGUGGAGCUGACAAGGAAAGGCCCAGGGAAAAACGGACUCGAGGAUCUGCUCUCUCGGACUGGUCGAUUUUUCGUCUCCGCCACUGCCGCAAUCGUCUCCGCCACUGCCGCAAACGACGCCUCAACAACUUCUGAGAUUCCUCAAACCCAAUUCUAUUUCCUCCAUCAGCACGACGAUCCCUCAUCCCUGAUCGCCUCCUCCCUGGCAAGAUCGUGCGGGAUCUCCGACAAUGUCGCUUUCUCCAUCUCCAAGAAAGUUCAGUUCGACGCCCUCGACAAAGUGCUCCCGGUUCUCGCCCUCCUCAAGGACUACGGCUUCGAUGAAGCCCAUCUCAUCUGCCCCAUCGACCGCUGUCCUCGUGUCCUCCUGAUGAACAACAAGAAGACCUUGAAGCCCAAGCUGGAACUCUUCAAUGGGAACGACCUUGUCGGAACCUCCCUCCUGGGGGCCCUGUCAGCUAGAUUCGUUCUGCUCGUGUACAACGUGGAGAAUUGAUUGCUCCCCAAUGCUGAGCUCCUCAAAUUGAUUUUGAAAAUGAAUGAGAACCUCGUGGAUGCCUUAAAGCACUCACCUUGGAUGAUCACCUUCGACAUCAGCACCACCGUUCUUCCCAAGUUCUAUGCUCUACGACCAUAUGGCGUGCCCGAUGAUGUAAUCUUAAUGCUUUUGACACUACGCUUUGGUGACAGAUACAGAUCGAUUCAAUGAGGCCUUUGACGAGAUAAAGAAGAUGAGUAUCUAUCCGAAGAAAACCACAUUCCCCCAUGCCCUCGGGGUGCUUGCUAUAUUGCCCAAGAAGAAGUGGCUGGAGAAAGUGGAGAACUUGAGGGAAUUGGGGUGGUCUUAGAAUCAUAUCUUGGAGGCCUUCGUAAAGCAUCCUUACAUUGUGCGGGCAUUGACUAAGAAGGUAAGAAAGACCAUGAAGCUUAUGGAAGAGAAGUUGGCAGGGACACAGGAGCACACAGUGAAGAAUACAAAUGUUCUGUCGAUGAGCCUAGAGAAGAGGUUGAUGCCCAGGCAUGCCAUCCUGGGCAUUGUCAUGCACAAGGGAUUGAUCAAGCCUUGCUUCACGGGGAACCAUUUCCUAGUUUCGAACAAGAAGUUCAUGAUGCAGUUUGUGACCAAGUAUAAGAGAAAGCUCCAAAAAUAGUUGAGGCUAUCAAAGGAGUGAAAUCGAGUAGAUGAUAACAAUGUGUUCUUCACCAAUAUGCUAACAAACAAUCACUGUUGUUAGACAAGUCAAUUAUAAGCCGGCAAAGAAUGACAAGCAAGAUGAAACAAAUGAUGAGACUUAUGUUGAAUGGAUUUCUCACCAUUGAUCUUGUUGAUGAUUUCACAAGAGUGUAGAUGGAGUUAUUGCAGAAGGUCAAAUUAUAUUCAUAGAUCCAAAAGCAAAAGUGAAUCACGUUUCUCUUGAUGGAGCUUGUUGGAAAGUUUGUAUUGAUAGAGUGUUGUUUGUGGACAAG